CUCCGUGCCAGCAGCCGCGGUAAUACGGAGGAUGCAAGCGUUAUCCCGGAUUUAUUGGGUUUAAAGGGUGCGUAGGCGGGAAAUUAAGUCAGUGGUGAAAUCCUACAGCUUAACUGUAGAACUGCCAUUGAAACUGAUUUUCUUGAGUAUAGUUGAGGUGGGCGGAACGUAUAAUGUAGCGGUGAAAUGCUUAGAUAUUAUACAGAACACCGAUUGCGUAGGCAGCUCACUAAACUAUUACUGACGCUCAGGCACGAAAGCGUGGGUAGCGAACAGGAUUAGAUACCCUGGUAGUCCACGCCGUAAACGAUGAUCACUCGUUGUUGGCGAUACACAGUCAGCGACUAAGCAAAAGCAUUAAGUGAUCCACCUGGGGAGUACGAUCGCAAGGUUGAAACUCAAAGGAAUUGACGGGGGCCCGCACAAGCGGAGGAACAUGUGGUUUAAUUCGAUGAUACGCGAGGAACCUUACCUGGGCUUAAAUGUAGGGCGAUUGCUGCCGAAAGGCAGCUUCCUUCGGGCGACCUACAAGGUGCUGCAUGGUUGUCGUCAGCUCGUGCCGUGAGGUGUCGGGUUAAGUCCCAUAACGAGCGCAACCCUCAUCGUUAGUUGCCAUCGGGUAAUGCCGGGGACUCUAACGAAACUGCCGGUGUAAACCGUGAGGAAGGUGGGGAUGACGUCAAAUCAGCACGGCCCUUAUGUCCAGGGCUACACACGUGUUACAAUGGUCGGUACAAAGGGCAGCUACCUGGUGACAGGAUGCUAAUCUCUAAAGCCGGUCUCAGUUCGGAUCGAAGUCUGCAAUUCGACUUCGUGAAGUUGGAUUCGCUAGUAAUCGCGCAUCAGCAACGGCGCGGUGAAUACGUUCCCGGGCCUUGUACACACCGCCCGUCAAGCCAUGGAAGCUGGGGGUGCCUGAAGUCCGUAACCGUAAGGAGCGGCCUAGGGUAAAACUAGUGACUGGGGCUAAGUCGUAACA
rnacentral:rRNA from 1 species